AUGAAACGAAACAAAACAAAAACAAAACCAAAAGACCACGUAUUGGCCAAAUUUCAAAAGGAUAGGGUUCAGAUUUCUCCUUCUUCAAGUCUACAGCGGUGCUCCACCCCCUCAGCCGCGGGCGUUGCCUUUUCUGAUCCACUCCGACGUCUUCUUCUCCAUCGCGUUUCACUCUCACACAGCGUCGUCCUCCGUUCAGCCUUGAAGCUCCGUCUCACAGAUUUCGCUAGUUGUUCGUUCAUCUCAUCUUAA
rnacentral:lncRNA from 1 species